AUUGAACGCUGGCGGCAGGCCUAACACAUGCAAGUCGAACGAGGGGCGGACGGGUGAGUAAUGUCUGGGACACUGCCUGAUGGAGGGGGAUAACUACUGGAAACGGUAGCAAAUACCGCAUAGCAUCAGUUGUGGCCAGAUGGGAUUAGCGAGUUGGUGGGGUAGAGGCUCACCAAGGCGACGGUCCCGAGCUGGUCUGAGAGGAUGACCAGCCACACUGGAACUGAGACACGGUCCAGACUCCUACGGGAGGCAGCAGUGGGGAAUAUUGCACAAUGGGCGCAAGCCUGAUGCAGCCAUGCCGCGUGUAUGAAGAAGGCCUGCGGGUUGUAAAGUACUUUCAGCGGGGAGGCGUUACCCGCAGAAGAAGCACCGGCUAACUCCGUGCCAGCAGCCGCGGUAAUUC
rnacentral:rRNA from 1 species